rnacentral:rRNA from 2 species
CCUGGUGACGAUAGGGAUCUGGUCACACCCGUUCCCAUUCCGAACACGGUCGUUAAGCAGAUCCCGCCGAUGAUAUUGCCUUGUGCGAGAAAGUAGGUCAUCGCCAGGG